UUCAGAUUUUAAUGAUUGUAUUUAUAUGCAUGUGGUGUCCUCAGGUCUUACAUGAACUAAUUUAUAUGCAUGUGGUGUCUGCAGAUCUUACAUGAACUAAUACGACGCCCCAACUAGAUUCUGUGGAGCAAGAAAGAAGUGGCAUCAAAUCUAGAUGUCGUAACAGAUGUGUAUGAUUUCCUCCAUUUGGUAAGCACUAUUUCUAGUGAAAAAGAAGUAAGUAAUGAAUGUCUAGGUGCAGAUGUUGAUGAAAAAGAAGUAAGCAAUGAAGCAGCCCGUUCAAUCUGAUCAAUCUACUCCCUGGGGAGGUUGGAAAUCAAAUGAUGUGUACAACAAUUCAGGAUGUUGUUUGAAUUACUUGUCCUAACAGGUGCACAAGUUGGGAUGGAUUGGACUUCUAUCUUGAGAAAACACCAUGAUUUCAGGUAGUUAUUAUUGUAAUGGAAAGUUAAAAAAUUAAAAGAGAGAGAGAGAGAUAAUGAAUUCAUGGAAAGAAAUGUUCUUUAUUAUUAGGGCUGCUUUGGCUGGGUUUA